rnacentral:rRNA from 1 species
AGAGUUUGAUUCUGGCUCAGAACGAACGCUGGCGGCGUGGAUAAGACAUGCAAGUCGAACGAGAGAAUUGCUAGCUUGCUAAUAAUUCUCUAGUGGCGCACGGGUGAGUAACACGUGAGUAACCUGCCCCCGAGAGCGGGAUAGCCCUGGGAAACUGGGAUUAAUACCGCAUAGUAUCGAAAGAUUAAAGCAGCAAUGCGCUUGGGGAUGGGCUCGCGGCCUAUUAGUUAGUUGGUGAGGUAACGGCUCACCAAGGCGAUGACGGGUAGCCGGUCUGAGAGGAUGUCCGGCCACACUGGAACUGAGACACGGUCCAGACACCUACGGGUGGCAGCAGUCGAGAAUCAUUCACAAUGGGGGAAACCCUGAUGGUGCGACGCCGCGUGGGGGAAUGAAGGUCUUCGGAUUGUAAACCCCUGUCAUGUGGGAGCAAAUUAAAAAGAUAGUACCACAAGAGGAAGAGACGGCUAACUCUGUGCCAGCAGCCGCGGUAAUACAGAGGUCUCAAGCGUUGUUCGGAAUCACUGGGCGUAAAGCGUGCGUAGGCUGUUUCGUAAGUCGUGUGUGAAAGGCGCGGGCUCAACCCGCGGACGGCACAUGAUACUGCGAGACUAGAGUAAUGGAGGGGGAACCGGAAUUCUCGGUGUAGCAGUGAAAUGCGUAGAUAUCGAGAGGAACACUCGUGGCGAAGGCGGGUUCCUGGACAUUAACUGACGCUGAGGCACGAAGGCCAGGGGAGCGAAAGGGAUUAGAUACCCCUGUAGUCCUGGCAGUAAACGGUGCACGCUUGGUGUGCGGGGAAUCGACCCCCUGCGUGCCGGAGCUAACGCGUUAAGCGUGCCGCCUGGGGAGUACGGUCGCAAGAUUAAAACUCAAAGAAAUUGACGGGGACCCGCACAAGCGGUGGAGUAUGUGGCUUAAUUCGAUGCAACGCGAAGAACCUUACCUGGGCUUGACAUGUAAUGAACAACAUGUGAAAGCAUGCGACUCUUCGGAGGCGUUACACAGGUGCUGCAUGGCCGUCGUCAGCUCGUGUCGUGAGAUGUUUGGUUAAGUCCAGCAACGAGCGCAACCCCUGUUGCCAGUUACCAGCACGUGAAGGUGGGGACUCUGGCGAGACUGCCCAGAUCAACUGGGAGGAAGGUGGGGACGACGUCAGGUCAGUAUGGCCCUUAUGCCCAGGGCUGCACACGUACUACAAUGCCCAGUACAGAGGGGGCCGAAGCCGCGAGGCGGAGGAAAUCCUAAAAACUGGGCCCAGUUCGGACUGUAGGCUGCAACCCGCCUACACGAAGCCGGAAUCGCUAGUAAUGGCGCAUCAGCUACGGCGCCGUGAAUACGUAGCCGGGUCUUGCACUCACCGCCCGUCA